rnacentral:lncRNA from 1 species
UUCGUUGAAUGGUUCGCACGCUGACACUUGUUGAUGUCCCAGCAUUGAAAUCCGCAGCAAUAGUUGGAGGUUUAUCAUUAGAUUUUAUUUUUAGAAAGUCACUUUUGUUUAAUUUGCGUUUAUUUAGUAUAUUCAAGCUUUUGGAUUUUAACUGUUCGGUUUUUGAUAUUUCUUGUGAGAUCGUCCUCUUAAGUUUAGAAAUUGAAAUUUUUCCAAUCACGGGAUUUAUUGUUUUUUGCUCUUAUUAUUUCUAUUAUUUGGUAUAGAGGCUGCUGCGUAUUCGUCAGGUGGGUGGUUUAAAUUUAAGGGUUGGCUUGGACCAGAGAAUUUUGUUGGGGUUGGAAGAGAAGUGAUAGUUAUUUGCUUGGCUGUGUUUUGUUUUGAAGUCUGAGUUUUAUUAAGAAAUAUCAUAGGUAUAUCAGUCUGUGUAGAUGCAGUUUUGUGGGGCCGCUGGACGAUAUUGACAGGCGUUGGCCUAAGUGCGGUGAGGGACGCGCGUAAGGAUG